AGAUUGUAUCAAAGGACAGAAGGUAAGCACUUCCUUUGAUAAGUGUGAUCUGACACACUUAUGAUUAAGGCACUGCCACUUGCUUUGUGGCAUAUAACCUGUUUUG
rnacentral:ncRNA from 1 species